CAGCCGCCGCGGGAAUACGUAGGUGGCAAGCGUUGUCCGGAAUUAUUGGGCGUAAAGGGCUCGCAGGCGGUUUCUUAAGUCUGAUGUGAAAGCCCCCGGCUCAACCGGGGAGGGUCAUUGGAAACUGGGAAACUUGAGUGCAGAAGAGGAGAGUGGAAUUCCACGUGUAGCGGUGAAAUGCGUAGGGAUGUGGAGGAACACCAGUGGCGAAGGCGACUCUCUGGUCUGUAACUGACGCUGAGGAGCGAAAGCGUGGGGAGCGAACAGGAUUAGAUACCCCUGUAGUCCCUGUCUCUUAUAC
rnacentral:rRNA from 1 species